CUCCCGUUCGUCUAGCCUGGUCCAGGACACAUGGUUUUCAUCCAUGCAACAGGGGUUCGAAUCCCCUACGGGAGGCCA
rnacentral:tRNA from 1 species